rnacentral:lncRNA from 1 species
UUGGCCGGCAAGUUUCGAGCGAUGAUUUGAUAAUUGGUAUAGUGGAACAAUACCCAUCGAUGAGUAGAAGAUCAUAUAUCAUAUCUAAGUUGAUCUGAUACAUAGUCUCAGAGAUCAUAGAAGAAUGUUAUUCGAAUUUUGGUUUGCAAAUUCGUCAAAGUUGUUUCAUAACUGUAAUAGAAGAGGGGAGGUUUACCCUUGCAAUUGGUUCCAAAGGUGAGAAAGG